GAUGAAGAACGUAGCGAAAUGCGAUAAGUAGUGUGAAUUGCAGAAUUCAGUGAAUCAUCGAAUCUUUGAACGCACAUUGCGCCCUUUGGUAUUCCUUAGGGCAUGCCUGUUCGAGCGUCAUUUAAACCUUCAAGCUAAGCUUGGUGUUGGGUGACUGUCCGCCUCACGGCGGACUCGCCUCAAAAUUAUUGGCGGCCGGUACAUUGGCUUCGAGCGCAGCAGAAACGCGAACUCGGGCCCGUCGUAUUGGCUCCCAGAAGCUAUCUUCUCAAUUUUGACCUCGGAUCAGGUAGGGAUACCCGCUGAACUUAAGCAUAUCAAUAAGCGGAGGA
rnacentral:misc_RNA from 1 species